CCGCCCUCGACAAGCCUAGGGUGACAAACAAGGUUGGCUCCAACGUCACCUUGAUCAACGUCAUGCAGAUUGCUGGACUCAACACCCUCGGCAUCUCAAUUGCGCGCAUCGACUAUGCUCCCUUGGGUCAGAACCCGCCACAUACGCACCCUCGCGCCACUGAGAUCCUCACGGUACUCGAGGGGACACUGUAUGUCGGAUUUGUCACAUCCAACCUGCCUGCACCCAACAGAAACAAGUUCCUCUCGAAGGUGCUCAACAAAGGUGAUGUAUUUGUCUUCCCCGUGGGGCUCAUUCACUUUCAGUUCAACCCCAACCCCCAUCAGCCCGCUGUUGCAAUUGCCGCGCUCAGCAGCCAGAACCCAGGGGCUAUCACAAUUGCCAAUGCAGUGUUUGGGUCAGACCCAGCAAUAUCAGAUGAUGUUCUUGCCAAGGCGUUUCAGGUGGAAAAGAAUACUAUAGACUGGCUCCAGGCUCAGUUCUGGGAGAACAACCACAAUUAAGUCACACAUUGGGUGAUUACACGGACGACACGUGCGUAAAUUAAGGGCAUGAUUGAGUUCCUAGAUAUGCAUCCUAAUUUAUAAAAUAAAAGGAGCAUAUGUAAUUGUGUGCCUGUAAUCAGUGAAUGUAUUUCUACCUUUUAAAUAAUCAAAAAUAUUGUUUUUUAUCACACUGAUAUGAUCUCACAUGCUUUUUUUUGGUUCUACUGUGUCGUAUUUCUCAUAAUUGAUCAAUAUUUUGGGUUCUUUUCCCCUUAUUCUGAAAUAAUAUAUGAUUAGGUUAAAAAAAAGAAACAAUACAAGAUUAUUUGGUAAUGCAGUAUUUGUUUGACGCUGGUGUUGAACACGUAUUAUUAUCUGGCAAUACAUGUGAAGUAUGCGAUGGGUGGAGCCCGAUUGUGCUCAGGAUUUAAAUGUGAAUGUGGAAUGUGCAAAAGUUGCUUCCUGGACUUGUUGUUCUGGUCUCUCGCUUUCUGGUGCAUGAAAUUAGAAAUAUACAGUUCCUCCAUGUAAUAUUUUUAGCUUCCUUUUGGUUCAAAGCUCUUGUAAGUUCGAUUGACGGCUGCUUUGAUGGAAAUCGAUGAGGUGGCUCAUUUUAUCUAAAUUCUUAUGAGUAGUAUUUUUGAUUUUCUUAAGUUGGGAACUAAAAACACGUUUUUUUACUAAGUUUUGGAAACUGGGCACAACGGAGUCGAGAUUUUAAACAUUAGCUCCAACAUACAUAUAAAAAAUAUGCAUAAAUGUAGAAAAUAAACUUAUUACCGGAAGUGCCUAAUGACACACCUCGAGCAUGCUGGCGGAAGGGAGCAGAUGAGAAGCUGGACCACCUUAAGACUCAACCAGGACCGAUGACGACAUUCAUCCACGAGCCACCUGGAAGAAAACACCUGACUUCGUCGUACUGUCACCUUUGAACUACAGUUGCAUGUCGGAGACGACCCGCUGCUUAAACCAAGUAGUGUCUUGACCAUACCAGCAGACAUGAUGAAAGGAGGACAUUGUUGCAUGUACUACAAGAUAUGUGCAUGCAAUACCGUGAGUCAUUUGAUUUAAGGCAGGGUCGAUUGGAUCGCCAUACCAUUCCGAACACACCACCGUAAAUGGAGAGUGUUGAUUGCACACAUUCUGUAGCAACUUAAAAGAAUGGAGAGUGUUAGAACUAGCCGCUUGCCGUAGAUCAGAUCGCCGUCGUACGCCAACACAACUAUAACCGAAACUAGAACAAAACCUGCACGCUACGAGCUAAAAGCAAGCAAGCUGGCUGGUGGAUCGAUUGUUGGGCUAGCUAGCUAUGGAACUGAUGUAUUCUGCCGUCCGGCUAGAUAAAUCUCAAUCGGAACUACACCAAAGUAUAGCACGCAAACACACGAGAUAAUCUUACAGGAGAGGAGAUCAAGCUAAGCAGACGACUUUGUCUGUGUAGAAAACGAUUGCUUUACAUAACUUACAUCUCUCAACUCCUCUUUGACCUCGUGUGCAUCAGUUCUCACCAUGACCAAGUAUACGUAUAUGAUAUCUAAUAAACUAUGAUGAUGGGUGGCGACUUUUCAUGAAACCAGCGCUCCAUGCAUUGUGCUGACUUGGUUGAGAUGGAUAAAUAAUUGUAAUUACUACUCAGCCAUACAUCGGAUGAUGCAUUAGCGCUUAAGCAUAUUAAAAAGCAAACUUGAAAAGUUUAUGCAAAAUACUAUUCAGAAGCCAAUAGAUGAUUAUUUAGUAAUGUGCUCAGAGGUUUCAACGUGCAAGUUGAAUGUGCAAACGUUGCUUCCUUGAGUCGUUGUUGUGGUCUGCCUUUCCGGGGCAUGUAAUAAGUAGUUUACGGUAGUUCCUGGAGUAUAGCCCACAUACUUGGGCUAUACUUCUCUCAGUGAUAAAACUUCUCUCUGUGUACCAUCACGAGUUUACUCAUAGAUUUCUUCCGUAACUAAUAGUGUCAAGUUAUACACUUAUAUAUACCUUAGUUUUCUCUAAAAGAAACCGAUAUACCUUACUUGAUGUCCUUCUCUUAAUCUAGAAAGGUGUUAAUUAUAAAUAUUUCCAUCUUGAGUGUUUGUAUCCUCCGUAUAUGUUUUGAUUACAGGCUCAAAGUUUCAAUUGAAGGUUUUCUUGAUGUUUUUUAUCCCAAUACAUCUGGGACUCCAACGGGAAUAUUUACAACUUGCACUGAGAUUCGUUGUAUUCUCUGUCUCCUAGAAAUUUGAGGACACUGUUUAUUUUGUGAAGAAAUGAAUAAGACGGACGACUCUAGGGCGGUAGUUAUGUUUUUUAUGGGGCACUGAACCUUUCGGCCUUUCUGUUGUAAUUCUGAAUAUGCCUUAUUUUUCUCGCAAAAAAUAAAGAAUAUGCCUUGUUUUUAUGCAGUCGUCUAGCUUUGAAUGUGUUCCAGUGUCGGUUUUGGAGCGAGUAAAUAACUUUCUGAAUGUAAGCACUUGAACUUGAGCUAUCUUGUCGUGUUGGCUUGAAACUGCCCAGCCCUGGACGAGUUCUCGUUCCCGGAGAAGACGAUGGUGGUGCUGGGCAGUUAGGAGGGCAUCCCGGUGGACAUCAUCCAGGAGGCGGUGGACGUGUGCGUCGAGAUCCCGCAGCUGGGCGUCGUCCGGUCGCUCAACGUCCGUGUCAGCGCCGCCAUCGCCAUCUGGGACUACACCCGCCAGCAGCGGGCCCGCUCCUCCUCCUCGCGGUAGGUAGCUUCCCGCUCUUCCUUGUUGGAGUGUAAAUCAGCCAUGCUUGUUGUUGUAAGAUGCAUGGACCUGAACAUCCAUGGCAAAAACUAGUCAUGAACCUUAGUCAGGACUAGAUUGUUAGAUUUAUGAACUGAAUUGGUCAUGACGAAAAUUCUUUGGCAAGAAAAUUUUAACUGCUCUUGCUCUCCAUCGUCCAUUAAUUAAUGUCGUUGCUUCUUCCUUCAAGUACUCAACCAUUUGGAGAGAAAUUUGACCAGGCAACUGUAUAUCUGGUUGACGUAAUCAUAUGAUACGUAUUAGGUGCGUUAAUGCAUGGAUCGACGCGCCAUGAUUUCUUCCUUGUUUGACACAAUCAAAACUAUUGCUCAUAGAAAUUGUUACUAAGAGGUCUACAUCACAUGGAGUACCUUAAUUUGCUUCUCUAUUUAUUAAAGGGAAAAACGUGUAUCAAAGAUUUGAAUAUGGCUGACCACAUCUCAAAAGUUUAUGCAGACUAAUCUAGUCGGCAGCCAAAGACCAUUUCUAUCCGUUGGGCGGUUCCACUUGACUAUGUCCAUUACUCAUGAGUUCCACCUGCUCGCCAUGCCUAUAUAAAAACAUACAUCCCCAGCAUGUUCCAACCAUCACUCACCCAACAAACAUCUCAGGAAUAUAGGAGAAAACAAGACCCAAAGGAGCUGAAAAAAUGGCAUCCUCCCCUACCUUCCUUCUCCUCGUUGCUCUUUUCGCCUUGAUCUCAUGGCAGGCUGUUGCCUCCGACCCUGGCCCGCUCCAGGACUUUUGUGUUGCCGACAUGCAUUCACCAGGUACUUCUUACUUCCCGCUUUCCCGUCGUACUAUCACCAAGAAAUGAAUUUCUGAAAAUUACCUGUAUGUUAAAAUCACUUCCUAGUAAUACCUAAGCUUACACCCUACAUCUCCUCUAUGCACCAGUGCGUGUCAAUGGGUUUGUUUGCAAGAACCCGAUGGAUGUCAACGCUGAUGACUUCUUCAAGGCAGCCGCCCUCGACAAGCCUAGGGUGACCAACAAGGUUGGGUCCAACGUUACCUUGAUCAACGUCAUGCAGAUUGCUGGACUCAACACCCUCGGCAUCUCAAUUGCACGCAUCGACUAUGCUCCUUUGGGUCAGAACCCACCACACACGCACCCUCGUGCCACUGAGAUCCUCACGGUACUCGAGGGGACACUGUAUGUCGGAUUUGUCACGUCCAACCUGCCCGCCCCCAACAGAAACAAGUUCCUCUCCAAGGUGCUCAACAAAGGUGAUGUGUUUGUCUUCCCCAUGGGGCUCAUUCACUUUCAGUUCAACCCCAACCCCCACCAGCCCGCCGUUGCCAUUGCCGCGCUCAGCAGCCAGAACCCAGGGGCUAUCACAAUUGCCAAUGCUGUUUUUGGGUCAGACCCAACAAUAUCAGAUGAUGUUCUUGCCAAGGCGUUUCAGGUGGAAAAGAAUACAAUAGAUUGGCUCCAGGCUCAGUUCUGGGAGAACAACCAAAACUAAGUCAGGCAUUGGGUGAUUACCCGGAAGAUUAGUGCAUAAACCAAGGAAUUAGUUAAGUUUCUAGACAUGCAUCAUAAGCUGUAAAAUUAAUGGAGCAUAUGUCAGGCCGGUGUGUGUAUGUAAACAUUGAAUGCAUUUCUUCCUUCCAAAUAAUUGACAAUACCAUUUUUUUAUCACACUGAUAUGAUCUCAUAUGCUUUUUUGGUUAUGAUGUCUCGUAUUUCUCACAACAAAUCAAAAUUUCGGUUCUUUUCCCCUUGUUCUAAAACAAUAGAUGAUUAGGUUAAAAAAGAAACAAUACACAAUUAUGUGGUAAUUUAAAUAUGUUUGAUGCUAGGGUUGAACACCUACGACUUUCUUGCAAUACAUGUGAAGUAUGCGAUGGUUGGAGCCCGAUUGUGCUCAAGAUUGAAACGUGAAAGUUGAGUGUGCGAAAGUUGCUUCCUUGAGUCGUUGUUCUGGUAUCUCGCUUUCUGGUGCAUGCAAUAGGAAAUUUACGGUUCCUAUGUAAUGUUUUAGAUUCAUGUUGGUUCAAACUCUUGCAAGUUCGAUUGGCGGAUGCUUUGAUGGGAGUUAAUGAGGUGAUUCGUUUUAUCAAAAAACUCGUAGCAUUAUUUGUUUUUCUUAAGUUGAGAACUAGAAAUACUCCCUCGAUUCCUAAAUAUAGAUCUUUGUAGAGGUUCCUACAUGGACUAUAUACGGAUGUGUGUAGACAUAUUUUAGAGUGUACGUUCACUCCUUUUUCUCCGUAUGUAGUCCAUAUUAAAAUCUCUAGAAAUACUUAUAUUUAAGAAGAGAGGGAGUACGAUUUUCACCAAGUUCUAGAACCUGGACNNNNNNNNNNNNNNNNNNNNNNNNNNNNNNNNNNNNNNNNNNNNNNNNNNNNNNNNNNNNNNNNNNNNNNNNNNNNNNNNNNNNNNNNNNNNNNNNNNNNCCCACAUAUAUCUCGAGUAGUCGUCUACCACGAGGAAGAAAUACUUCUUUCCCGCGUGAGUUGCUGGGGUGAUAGGGCCACAUAGAUCACCAUGGAGCAGCUCGAGUGCAUCACUUGCACGAUAGGUAGACAGAGCAGGGAACGGCCUGCGGUGUUGUUUUCCAACCAAGCACCCGUCACAUACUCGAUCAACAUGGUCGAUAAAUGGCAUCCCGGAUACCAUCUCCAUCUUUGACAUCUUCUUCAAGGCGUAGAAGUUAACGUGUCCAAAUCUAGCAUGCCAUAACCACGAAUCAUCAUCACUCUUGGCGAGCCAACACUCCGGUUGAGAUUGAUCAAGGUUGAGGAUAUAGAGCCUAUUCCGUGUGCGAUUAACACGAGCUAGCACGUUUCGGAGGUUGUCGAAGAUCGUCAUCACUCCGUUCUCGAUAUUCACCUUGCAUCCAUUCUCGUCAAGCUUCCCAAUAGAGAUAAUGUUGUUGCGAAGCCGUGGGAUGUAGUACACUCCGGUGAGUAUGCGAUGUUCGCCUGUGAGACCCUCGAAGAGGACAGAUCCUUGCCCGCAAAUCUCCACAGCUGAACCAUCACNNNNNNNNNNNNNNNNNNNNNNNNNNNNNNNNNNNNNNNNNNNNNNNNNNNNNNNNNNNNNNNNNNNNNNNNNNNNNNNNNNNNNNNNNNNNNNNNNNNNUGGAAACAGUGGUGUGGGGGCGGGGCGGGGCCGGAUCUGAUGCGGGCGGCGUCCGGCGGGGCGGCGGCGGGUUGUGGAGGCGGCGGGGCGGCGGCGGACGGGCGGAAGGUCGCGAGCGGGCGGGCGGGAAAGUAAACGAAGUGGCGGUUGGGCGUUCGCGGGCGGCGGCUGGUUUUGGACCAGAUGCAUCUCGUGAUGUAAAUUUGCACCGCGAGGUGUUGCAUUUUACAUCAAGGAGGCCGCGGUCUAUUUUUUUUUACAUAUGGACUGUCUGUUGAAGCUGCGUUUUUUGCCUCAGACGGUCCAAAAGUUAGUACUAAAUAACUAGAUAAUCAUUUAUUGCUUUGGAGAAGGGGAAAAUAACCCCGAAUUUCAUUUGUUAUGCGAAAUACGAUACAUCAAAACCAAAAUAGCAUACAACAUCAUAUCAGAGUGAUGAGAAAAAAAACAUAUUCUUGAUUAUUCAUAGGACUGAAAUACAUUCAGGGCUUACAAACACACAAUGACAUGAUAUAUGCUCCAUUUAUUUUAUAGAUUAGGAUGCAUGUCUAGAAAGUCAACCAAGUCCUUGGUUUAUGCACUCAUAUUCCGUGUAAUCAAUCAAUUGUGGUUGUUCUCCCAGAACUGAGCCUGGAGAUAGUCUAUUGUAUUCUUUUCAACCUGAAAUGCCUUGGAAAGAACAUCAUCCGAUAUUGGUGGGUCUGACCCAAACACUGCAUUGGCAAUUGUGAUAGCCCCUGGGUUCUGGCUACUGAGCGCGGCAAUUGCAACGGCAGGCUGGUGGGGGUUCGGGUUGAAUUGGAAGUGGAUGAGCCCCACGGGAAAGACAAACACAUCACCUUUGUUGAGCACCUUGGAAAGGAACUUGUUUCUGUUGGGGGCGGGCUGGUUGGAUGUGACAAAGCCAACGUACAGUGUCCCCUCGAGCACCGUGAGGAUCUCAGUGGCGCGAGGGUGCGUAUGUGGUGGGUUCUGGCCCAAGGGAGCAUAGUCGAUGCGUGCAAUUGAGAUUCCGAGGGUGUUGAGUCCAGCAAUCUGCAUGACGUUGAUCAAAGUGACGUUGGAUCCAACCUUGUUGGUCACCCUAGGCUUGUCGAGGUUGGCUGCCUUGAAGAAGUCAUCUGCAUUAACUUCCAUCGGGUUCUUGCAAACGAACCCAUUGACACGCACUGGGUGCAUAAAGGAGAUGUAACAUGUGAGAUUAGAAGUUACAAAGUCAUUCCAACUUGCAUAUAAUUUUCAGAAUCUAAUAGCAACAUAUGUAUCUGGCGAUAACAUGACAUGAAACCAUGGAGUACGUUGUACCUGGUGAAUGCAUGUCGGCGACACAAAAGUCCUGGAGUGGGUCAGGAUCGGACGCAAUGGCCUGCCAUGAGACCAAGGCAAGAAGGGCAGCAAGGAGAANNNNNNNNNNNNNNNNNNNNNNNNNNNNNNNNNNNNNNNNNNNNNNNNNNNNNNNNNNNNNNNNNNNNNNNNNNNNNNNNNNNNNNNNNNNNNNNNNNNNACCCGGAAUGGUUAGAUGGUUUUGCCGGCACUACUAGGCUCGACUGGAUCUGUUCAUGGUCGUGGGCUUGGGCCUGGUCGAGCCUAAUCUGGAGUCUGGGGCCCAUCAUGGUGGAUCUGGUGGCCCAAGUCCCCUUGACUAAGUGUGAGUUGUGGUCCAAGCGAAAGCUCGACGCCUCCGUGCUGGUAACGUGAUGUCCUGGUAGUCAUGUCCCUCUUGGGGUCGUCGCCAUGGCUCUCUCGCCCUCUCAACUCAAGGUGAAAACCCUUAUGCGCACAUACAGAUGGAUGGUGGCGGCGUAUUGCGUCGUGACCCUCUUCGGGGAGUCACUAGUGAGUGCAGUUGUCCUUCAUUUGUGGUGGCUUGUUUGGAACGGUAUGACGAAACAAUUGACCCUACCUCACCUCCCGUGACUCACGGUUUUGCUUGCACCUAUCUUCUACACGCAACAACGUCAUCCUUUCAUCAUGUCUGCUCGCAGUCAACGUUCCUUGCUUUAGUUAGAUGGUCCUCUUCGACAUCCAUUGGCUGGUGAUGGCGCGAUGAAGUCCAGCAUUUUCCUCCAACUGGCGCGUGGUUGAAUGUCGUCAGCGGUGCUAGUUGAAUCUUCAGUUGGUCCAACCUCUCAUGUUCUUCCUCUCGAUGGCAUGUUGGAGGCAUCUAAUUGUGCACUUCAUGUGCUUGUUAGCAUGUUUGGCUUGUUUUGCCAAGCUUUCUUCCAUCAUCGUGUAUGAUGAUUUCCUCCACACCUUGUAAGCAUUGGACUUUAUGUAUGGGAAGCAGGCCGAAGUACGUUUUAGGGAUAAAAUACUUCUAUGACAAGCUUGUUACAAACAAGCAACUCAAAUUAUAAUCUGUUAUUUUGGGGGGGGGGGGAAGGGGGUAGGUAAUAAUCGUUUAUUCUGUAUAUUGAUGGAGCUGAUUUUUUGAACCUGGUCUCCGGUAUAUCCAGGUUCUAGAACUUGGGUGAAAAUCGUACUCCCUCUCUUCUUAAAUAUAAGUAUUUCUAGAGAUUUUAAUAUGGACUACACUCUAAAAUAUGUCUACACACAUCCGUAUAUAGUCCAUGUAGGAACCUCUACAAAGAUCUAUAUUUAGGAAUCGAGGGAGUAUUUCUAGUUCUCAACUUAAGAAAAACAAAUAAUGCUACGAGUUUUUUGAUAAAACGAAUCACCUCAUUAACUCCCAUCAAAGCAUCCGCCAAUCGAACUUGCAAGAGUUUGAACCAAUAUGAAUCUAAAACAUUACAUAGGAACCGUAAAUUUCCUAUUACAUGCACCAGAAAGCGAGAUACCAGAACAACGACUCAAGGAAGCAACUUUUGCACACUCAACUUUCACGUUUCAAUCAUGAGCACAAUCGGGCUCCAACCAUCGCAUACUUCACAUGUAUUGCAAGAAAGUCCUAGGUGUUCAACCGUAGCAUCAAACAUAUUUAAAUUACCACAUAAUUGUGUAUUGUUUCUUUUUUAACCUAAUCAUCUAUUGUUUCAGAACAAGGGGAAAAGAACCGAAAUUUUGAUUUGUUGUGAGAAAUACGAGACAUCAUAACCAAAAAAGCAUAUGAGAUCAUAUCAGUGUGAUAAAAAAAAAUGGUAUUGUCAAUUAUUUGGAAGGAAGAAAUGCAUUCAAUGUUUACAUACACACACCGACCUGACAUGUGCUCCAUUAAUUUUACAGCUUAAGAUGCAUGUCUAGAAACUUAACUAAUUCCUUGGUUUAUGCACUAAUCUUCCGGGUAAUCACCCAAUGCCUGACUUAGUUUUGGUUGUUCUCCCAGAACUGAGCCUGGAGCCAAUCUAUUGUAUUCUUUUCCACCUGAAACGCCUUGGCAAGAACAUCAUCUGAUAUUGUUGGGUCUGACGCAAAAACAGCAUUGGCAAUUGUGAUAGCCCCUGGGUUCUGGCUGCUGAGCGCGGCAAUGGCAACGGCGGGCUGGUGGGGGUUGGGGUUGAAUUGAAAGUGAAUGAGCCCCACGGGGAAGACAAACACAUCACCUUUGUUGAGCACCUUGGAGAGGAACUUGUUUCUGUUGGGGGCGGGCAGGUUGGACGUGACAAAUCCGACAUAUAGUGUCCCCUCGAGCACCGUGAGGAUCUCAGUGGCACGAGGGUGCGUGUGUGGUGGGUUCUGACCCAAGNNNNNNNNNNNNNNNNNNNNNNNNNNNNNNNNNNNNNNNNNNNNNNNNNNNNNNNNNNNNNNNNNNNNNNNNNNNNNNNNNNNNNNNNNNNNNNNNNNNNUGCGCCUGUUAUCAUCACAUCAAUAAGAUAUUACUCGGUCAAAAUUUUGUUAAAAUGGUUAAUUACAUUAAGUGUUGUUGGUAGUUUUGAUACAAAAAAUAUGUUCCCAUCAGACAAAUAAAAUGCAUCCAAAAAAUACAUGACCCAACAUCAUCCUCGUGGACGACAUGAGAGACGAUCUCGGCCGCCGUCCCUAGGACCCCACACUCUCAUCCUUCCCACACCGUCGUCGAUCAACAUCAUGCACAGCAAAGCCCGGGGUUACUUUAGGCAGCAGCGUUGUGUCCCGUCUCUCCACUCCACUCCCUGGUCUCUCUGGGUUGCUCCUAGGACCUCACACUUUUGGCGCUGCUAUCCCUCACAGCCGGAAGCAAGCCGUUGGCAUGAGGUUGCAAGGCGUGGCUUGUGGGAACGUGGUUCACCUGGUCAUUGACUGGGUAACGGAACUCUGCCAAAAGUCGGUGUUUUCCCAGAUCAACCAGCAUCAUGGUCGUUGACUUGUGAGGGGUGACUGUGGUCAGACAUGACGUGGUUGCCCAUCACCUCUCAUGGGAGAGGUUCCGCCACCGGUGAGCUCCUCCCUGCACCCACCCGGAAUGGUUAGGUGGGUUCGUCGGCACUACUAGGCUCGACUGGAUCUGUUCAUGGUCGUGGGCUUGGGCCUGGUCGAGCCUAAUCUGGAGUCUGGGGCCCAUCAUGGUGGAUCUGGUGGCCCAAGUCCCCUUGACUAAGUGUGAGUUGUGGUCCAAGCGAAAGCUCGACGCCUCCGUGCUGGUAACGUGAUGUCUUGGUAGUCAUGUCCCUCUUGGGGUCGUCGCCAUGGCUCUCUCGCCCUCUCAACUCAAGGUGAAAACCCUUAUGCGCACAUACAGAUGGAUGGUGGCGGCUGUUGGGAACGUCGCAUGGGAAACAAAAAAUUUCCUACGCGCACGAAGACCUAUCAUGGUGAUGUCCAUCUACGAGAGGGAAUGAGUGAUCUACGUACCCUCGUAGACCGUACAGCAGAAGCGUUAGAGAAUGCGGUUGAUGUAGUGGAACGUCCUCACGUCCCUCGAUCCGCCCCGCGAACAAUCCCGCGAUCAGUCCCACGAUCUAGUACCGAACGGACGGCACCUCCGCGUUCAGCACACGUACAGCUCGACGAUGAUCUCGGCCUUCUUGAUCCAGCAAGAGAGACGGAGAGGUAGAAGAGUUCUCCGGCAGCGUGACGGCGCUCCGGAGGUUGGUGAUGACCUUGUCUCAGCAGGGCUCCGCCCGAGCUCCGCAGAAACGCGAUCUAGAGGAAAAACCGUGGAGGUAUGUGGUCGGGCUGCCGUGGAAAAGUCGUCUCAAAUCAGCCCUAAAACCUCCUUAUAUAUAGGUGGGAGGGAGGGGGCCUUGCCUUGGGGCUCAAGGAGCCCCAAGGGGGUCGGCCGAGUCCAAGGGGGAGGACUCUCCCCCCCCCCCCAAACCGAGUUGGACUAGGUUUGGUGGGAGGGAGUCCCCCUUCCUUCCCACCUCCUCCUUUUUUUUUCUUUCUCUCUUGAUUUUCUUCUCCUUGGCGCAUAGGGCACUUGUGGGCUGUCCCACCAGCCCAGGUGUGGCUCCCCCAAUGCCUAUGGGCUUCCCCGGGGUGGGUUGCCCCCCCCCCCCCGGUGAACUCCCGGAACCCAUUCGUCAUUCCCGGUAACUCCGAAAACCUUCCGGUAAUCAAAUGAGGUCAUCCUAUAUAUCAAUCUUCGUUUCCGGACCAUUCCGGAAACCCUCGUGACGUCCGUGAUCUCAUCCGGGACUCCGAACAACAUUCGGUAACCAACCAUAUAACUCAAAUACGCAUAAAACAACGUCGAACCUUAAGUGUGCAGACCCUGUGGGUUCGAGAACUAUGUAGACAUGACCCGAGAGACUCCUCGGUCAAUAUCCAAUAGCGGGACCUGGAUGCCCAUAUUGGAUCCUACAUAUUCUACGAAGAUCUUAUCGUUUGAACCUCAGUGCCAAGGAUUCGUAUAAUCCCGUAUGUCAUUCCCUUUGUCCUUCGGUAUGUUACUUGCCCGAGAUUCGAUCGUCAGUAUCCGCAUACCUAUUUCAAUCUCGUUUACCGGCAAGUCUCUNNNNNNNNNNNNNNNNNNNNNNNNNNNNNNNNNNNNNNNNNNNNNNNNNNNNNNNNNNNNNNNNNNNNNNNNNNNNNNNNNNNNNNNNNNNNNNNNNNNNAGUUAGAUGGUCCUCUUCGACAUCCAUUGGCUGGUGAUGGCGCGAUGAAGUCCAGCAUUUUCCUCCAACUGGCGCGUGGUUGAAUGUCGUCAGCGGUGCUAGUUGAAUCUUCAGUUGGUCCAACCUCUCAUGUUCUUCCUCUCGAUGGCAUGUUGGAGGCAUCUAAUUGUGCACUUCAUGUGCUUGUUAGCAUGUUUGGCUUGUUUUGCCAAGCUUUCUUCCAUCAUCGUGUAUGAUGAUUUCCUCCACACCUUGUAAGCAUUGGACUUUAUGUAUGGGAAGCAGGCCGAAGUACGUUUUAGGGAUAAAAUACUUCUAUGACAAGCUUGUUACAAACAAGCAACUCAAAUUAUAAUCUGUUUUUUUUUGGGGGGGGGGGGGGAAGGGGGUAGGUAAUAAUCGUUUAUUCUGUAUAUUGAUGGAGCUGAUUUUUUGAACCUGGUCUCCGGUAUGUCCAGGUUCUAGAACUUGGUGAAAAUCGUACUCCCUCUCUUCUUAAAUAUAAGUAUUUCUAGAGAUUUUAAUAUGGACUACAUACGGAGCAAAAGGAGUGAACGUACACUCUAAAAUAUGUCUACACACAUCCAUAUAUAGUCCAUGUAGGAACCUCUACAAAGAUCUAUAUUUAGGAAUCGAGGGAGUAUUUCUAGUUCUCAACUUAAGAAAAACAAAUAAUGCUACGAGUUUUUUGAUAAAACGAAUCACCUCAUUAACUCCCAUCAAAGCAUCCGCCAAUCGAACUUGCAAGAGUUUGAACCAACAUGAAUCUAAAACAUUANNNNNNNNNNNNNNNNNNNNNNNNNNNNNNNNNNNNNNNNNNNNNNNNNNNNNNNNNNNNNNNNNNNNNNNNNNNNNNNNNNNNNNNNNNNNNNNNNNNNGAACGUAGUUACUUAAACGUAACGAACACACAACUAUAAUAUUAGUUUGGGUUUGGGGUUGGGGUGGGGGAAGGGGGUAGGUAAUAAUCGUUUAUUCUGUAUAUUGAUGGAGCUGAUUUUUUGAACCUGGUCUCCGGUAUGUCCAGGUUCUAGAACUUGGUGAAAAUCGUACUCCCUCUCUUCUUAAAUAUAAGUAUUUCUAGAGAUUUUAAUAUGGACUACAUACGGAGCAAAAGGAGUGAACGUACACUCUAAAAUAUGUCUACACACAUCCAUAUAUAGUCCAUGUAGGAACCUCUACAAAGAUCUAUAUUUAGGAAUCGAGGGAGUAUUUCUAGUUCUCAACUUAAGAAAAACAAAUAAUGCUACGAGUUUUUUGAUAAAACGAAUCACCUCAUUAACUCCCAUCAAAGCAUCCGCCAAUCGAACUUGCAAGAGUUUGAACCAACAUGAAUCUAAAACAUUACAAGAGCAGUUAAAAUUUCCUUGUCAAAGAGAUCUCAUCAUGACCAAUUCAGUGCAUAAAUCUAACGAUCUAGUCCUGACAAAGGUUCAUGACUAGUUUUUGUCAUGGAUGUUCUGAUCCAUGUAUCUUACAACAAGAAGCAUGGCUGAUUUACACUCCAACAAGGAAGAACGGGAAGCUACCAACCCCGAGGAGGAGGAGGAGCGGGCCCGCUGUUGGCGGGUGUAGUCCCAGAUUGCGAUGGCGGCGUUGACAUGGACGUUGAGCGACCGGACGACGCCCAGCUGCAGGAUCUAAACGCACACGUCCACCGCCUCCUGGAUGAUGUCCACCGGGAUGCCCUCCUAACUGCCCAGCACCACCAUCGUCUUCUCCGGGAACGAGAACUCGUCCAGGGCUGGGCAGUUUCAAGCCAACACGACAAGAUAGCUCAAGUUCAAGUGCUUACAUUCAGAAAGUUAUUUACUCUCUCCAAAACCGACACUGGAACACAUUCAAAGCUAGACGACUGCAUAAAAACAAGGCAUAUUCUUUAUUUUUUGCGAGAAAAAUAAGGCAUAUUCAGAAUUACAACAGAAAGGCCGAAAGGUUCAGUGCCCCAUAAAAAACAUAACUACCGCCCUAGAGUCGUCCGUCUUAUUCAUUUCUUCACAAAAUAAACAGUGUCCUCAAAUUUCUAGGAGACAGAGAAUACAACGAAUCUCAGUGCAAGUUGUAAAUAUUCCCGUUGGAGUCCCAGAUGUAUUGGGAUAAAAAACAUCAAGAAAACCUUCAAUUGAAACUCUGAGCCUGUAAUCAAAACAUAUACGGAGGAUACAAACACUCAAGAUGGAAAUAUUUAUAAUUAACACCUUUCUAGAUUAAGAGAAGGACAUCAAGUAAGGUAUAUCGGUUUCUUUUAGAGAAAACUAAGGUAUAUAUAAGUGUAGUAACUUGACACUAUUAGUUACGGAAGAAAUCUAUGAGUAAACUCGUGAUGGUACACAGAGAGAAGUUUUAUCACUGAGAGAAGUAUAGCCCAAGUAUGUGGGCUAUACUCCAGGAACUACCGUAAACUACUUAUUACAUGCCCUGGAAAGGCAGACCACAACAACGACUCAAGGAAGCAACGUUUGCACAUUCAACUUGCACGUUGAAACCUCUGAGCACAUUACUAAAUAAUCAUCUAUUGGCUUCUGAAUAGUAUUUUGCAUAAACUUUUCUAAGUUUGCUUUUUAAUAUGCUUAAGCGCUAAUGCAUCAUCCGAUGUAUGACUGAGUAGUAAUUACAAUUAUUUAUCCAUCUCAACCAAGUCAGCACAAUGCAUGGAGCNNNNNNNNNNNNNNNNNNNNNNNNNNNNNNNNNNNNNNNNNNNNNNNNNNNNNNNNNNNNNNNNNNNNNNNNNNNNNNNNNNNNNNNNNNNNNNNNNNNNGUAAUCCUAAGCUGACACUCUACAUCGUCCGUCCUAGUGCACCAGUGCGUGUCAAUGGGUUGUUUGCAAGACCCAAUGGAUGCCAACGCUGAUGACUUCUCAAGGCAGCCGCCUGCAGCAGGNCACAGUGGCCAGUACCUUGAUCAACGUCAUGCAGAUUGCUGGACUCAANACCCUCGGCAUCUCAAUUGCACGCAUCGACUAUGCUCCCCUUUGGGGUCAGAACCCACCACACACGCACCCUCGUGCCACUGAGAUCCUCACGGUGCUCGAGGGGACACUAUAUGUCGGAUUUGUCAC
rnacentral:lncRNA from 1 species